GGAUAGCUACCACAUCUAAGGAAGGCAGCAGGCACGCAAAUUACCCAAUUGUCGAUGACAGAGGUAGUAAUAAUAAAUAACAAUACAGGACUCGUCCGAGGCCUUGUAAUUGGAAUGUUUUUAAGAUAAAGACAUGAAGGAGGAACUAUUAGAGGGCAAGUCUGGUGCCAGCAGCCGCGGUAAUUCCAGCUCUAAUAGCGUAUUUUAAUGUUGUUGCGGUUGAAAAGCUCGUAGUUGGAUAUCAUUGAUUGUAUAAGUUCAAUGUGAAUUGUUCUUAUACAGGAGAGGGAAGUCAAGCGGUGAAAAUAAACUUGAAUGUUUAUAUCCACAUAACGCCUGGCUUAAGUUACUUUGAAUAAAUCAAAGUGCUCAAUACAAGCUUUUGCUUGAAUAUAUGUGCAUGGGAUAACGCAAGAAGAUCAAUAUCGAAUCUGUUGGUUGAAUCGAUAUGGGUAAUGAUUAAUAGAGAUUGACGGGGGCAUUUGUAUUUGAAAGCGAGAGGUGAAAUUCUGUGACCUUUCAAAGACAUGCUAAAGCGAAAGCACUUGCCAAGAAUGUUUUCACUAAUCAAGAACGAAAGUUAGAGGCUCGAAGGCGAUUAGAUACCGCCCUAGUUCUAACCAUAAACAAUGCCAACUAACAAUCUUGUGUAGUUUAAGUUGAAACUAACAAGGAAGUUUUCGGAAAACCAAAGUUUUUGGGUUCCGGGGGUAGUAUGGUUGCAAAGCUGAAACUUAAAGUAAUUGACGGAGUUGCACCACCAGGAGUGGAGCCUGUGGCUUAAUUUGACCCAACACGGGGAAGCUCACCAGGGCAAGACACUAUUAGGAUUGACAGAUUGAUAGCUCUUUCUCGAUAAAGUGGGUGGUGGUGCAUGGCCGUUCUUAGUUGGUGGAGUGAUUUGUCUGGUUAAUUCCGAUAACGAACGAGACUCUGACCAAUUACUAGUGAAAUCUUUUGAAAAGAAAGUUACCGCAGUAAUGCAGUUUCAUUCGAGAUUUUACUUCUUAAGGGGACACGCUAUUGUGAAUAGCACGAGGAAGAGCAAUAACAGGUCUGUGAUGCCCUUAGAUGUUCUGGGCUGCACACGCGCUACAAUAAAUUAAUCAACAAGUUCUCCGUUUUGACAGAUGCGGGCAAACUUUUGAAAUUAAUUUAUGGUAGGAAUGGGAACUUGCAAUUAUUUUCCCUGAACUAGGAAUUCCU
rnacentral:rRNA from 1 species